GGAGCUCCUUAAAGAUAUUCAUACUGUACACACACUGUAGGCCUGAACUCCCGGCCUGGUGUUUAUAUCCAAACUUUUCAGAAGCUUUAGAACAUUUAAGUGUUAACAGUAACACAAAAAUAAAGGCCUUGGGAGGCUAAUUUUGGGAGAUUCCACAAAAGCAACUCCACAAUACCCUCCCAGGCUGAGUGUAAAGAAAGCAUUAGUAAGCGUGGCUUGGAGCAGUAACACUGUACUCAUAUUCUGCAUGCGUAAAAGACACUGCACACACUUGGCUACUUCUGGCAAUGUGCAAAUUCUGAUGACAAACAUUUCGUAGUAGAUUUAAGUAGAGAUGUAAUUUGAAACAUGAUAAUAACUUGCACAAUUGUACCAUCUCCUUUAACAAGGGGAAAGGGUGAAGCUCGAUAGACAGAGAGUAAAAGAUGGUGUUUGUUCUCAGAAGCAUCAUUUCGAAAGGUUUUUCUUUAUCAGCAAUCUAACGAGAAGCCAAUUAACUGACUCCUCAUCACUGUCCAACAUGAACUGCGCCCACACUCCCUAAAUGACAAGUGAAUAUGUUUACGACUGUUGUGUCUAUACGACGCCCGGAGAGGAGACAGUGGGUGAGGCCUGUCCCUUCUAAAGCACCCUGUGUCCAGAGCAGAACUAGGUCAACGGAGACCGCUGGUUGAUAAGGUGAUGCCACACGGCGCAGCUCUAAUUAUCGCCAAUUAAGAGAGUGUCAGCAGCAGGCAGAGGGAAGCUCUGGCUUUGGGACUUAAGUUGUGUCGGUGUGAAGUGCAUUGUUAGAGGCCACUCCAAGUACCGAUCCUCUUCACCACCCUGAGACCAGUAUUAAAGCACAGCUCAGUAAAGUCAAUGCUACAAUGGGCCAAGAUGAACAUUGUCAACCUGAUAUUUCCCCAGAAAGGUCACAGCUCAUGGUCUUUCUGAAUACUAGCGGCAACGACACUCAACAGGGAGGGAGGAGCUGAGAACUCCAGUCAUGUAAGCAGUGCAGAAAGAAAGCAUCGCUUCAUGCCAAGUGGAAUGUCCUCAGCAUCGGCAGUGGCUCCAGAGAAGGAGAGGUGUAUCACUUCAGCAGGAUACUGGUCCAUAGGUGUCUGGUUUCAGAUGGCAGGCAUGC